rnacentral:sRNA from 1 species
UAAUACGAUGGGUUUGAAUGGCAGGGA